GGCAGCCAUUAGCCAUGCGGUCACCCAGGUGAAUCUGAAACUGGCUCUCUCCUCAUAACCGCAUGCUCAAAGAGUGCCCUGCCUCCAGAGGAGAACUCCAACCACCUCUGGAUGAUGCGGGUCUAAUAAAUCAAACGUGUCCAACCACAAGUCUCAUCAAGACCCUCAUCAAGUCUCAUCAAGACCAGCCACUCACCUGCUGCUUUAGACCCAAGUGACAGUGCUCAGCCAAUCAACUGAGAGAGGGUGAAAGCAGAACUCUGCCCCAUCAGCAACUGCAUGGCCUGGGCAGCACCUCCAUGCUUCUUUUCCAAGGAAGAAAACAGCUUCACUGGAAACAGCUUCACGGCUUCAAACAAACACCCCCAUUCCAAGGGAGGGUUGACUUUUGGAGCAAAGAAGGUGUUGCAAGUGCCCUGUGAUGAACCUCAUGAGGUUGACCAUCCUCCCUCUGAUGUGGUGGGUGAUCCUUUUCUUGGAUGGCUGUUACAUUGGCUACAUGUUCAAGCUGACCAAUGGGAGCUUCUCAGGAGAAGACAUGAAGCAGCAACUGUCUAAUAUCUUUGUGAUAGCCCAGGUGUGUGGCUUAUGCCUCCUUUUAUUCAUCAUCCUGUGCAGCUGCCUAAAAACCCACUUCCCCUGCAACAUCUGUGAGCUCUGCCCAAAUCAAACCAGAACCACAGGGCAAGAAGAGAACAAGGAUACCAGGAGUCCAAGCCAGUGGAGGAUGGACCAGCAUGGCUGGCUAACUCAGGACCAUCCAGCGUGGUUAUAUAUAACCAGAAGUACAGUGAAGAGAGAAAUACAGUGAAGACCACUAUAUGAUUGAGUCACUUAAUGCAUGUACCAAUAAAGCUAUCUGGUAUUGCUUUGA